rnacentral:tRNA from 1 species
GCCCGGGUGGCUCAGUCGGUUAAGCGUCCGACUUCGGCUCAGGUCAUGAGCUCGCAAUUCGUGGGUUCGAGCCCCGCGUCGGGCU